UUCGCUCUUUGAGCACAUCGCGGGGCGAAGGAUACACCUAUCGUCUAUCCCCAGAAGUUACGUGUUGCGAUGCGCUACGUCGUCCAUGUAUUUACAAGUAUUUAUGUAUUUCCGAGCGCAAGUAUGCGGGGCCUGCUCUCGUCGGUAACAGGUGUACGUGAAAAUGUGUGUUAUGUUUCGUCCCGAUGGAAAAAUAUGCUUGUGUGAAGUAUGGAGAUAAAGGACCGAAGCGAGUCUCGCUGCAUUCUGUUGCGAAUCUGUUGCUGCUUUUUUCGUACCCCGCCGCUGGGAUGCAUUCAAACGGAUCUAAAUGUCUUGAAAGUCGACGCCUGCAAAGGAGUUCUGGGAGGGAAAUAUGCCCGUUUACGUUCGUCGCGGACGUUACAAGGGUGGAAGUUCGCUCGGCUCGAGAGAAAAAAAAGAGAGCGAGAGAAGCCGAGCACAGCGCGAGUUAGCAGCUUUCAAAAGCUCCGCCGUGUACAGAACCGGCGAAAACUGCAAACACAAAUAAGCCGACAAAGACUGAGAAUAAUAAGCUAAUCGUACCUGCGUUCCACAAAUGUAUAUACACGGAAAUUACGUCCUCCCACAGCAAGGCGAAAAUGGAGAAAGAGAAAAUGACAGAAAGAGGAAUAUAAAAAAGGGAGGAAUUAUGAGAUGAAUGACUAAGAACAGAGAGAAUGUACAACGGAAUUUUCCCCCCGUUCUCCCGUUAUCCUGUUUUGCCCCCUCGCGAUAGAGCAACGAGAGAGAGAGAGAGA